AGUGAACGCUGGCGGUAGGCCUAACACAUGCAAGUCGAACGGCAGCACAGUAAGAGCUUGCUCUUACGGGUGGCGAGUGGCGGACGGGUGAGGAAUACAUCGGAAUCUACUUUUUCGUGGGGGAUAACGUAGGGAAACUUACGCUAAUACCGCAUACGACCUACGGGUGAAAGCAGGGGAUCUUGGGACCUUGCGCGAAUGAAUGAGCCGAUGUCGGAUUAGCUAGUUGGCGGGGUAAAGGCCCACCAAGGCGACGAUCCGUAGCUGGUCUGAGAGGAUGAUCAGCCACACUGCAACUGAGACACGGUCCAGACUCCUACGGGAGGCAGCAGUGGGGAAUAUUGGACAAUGGGCGCAAGCCUGAUCCAGCCAUACCGCGUGGGUGAAGAAGGCCUUCGGGUUGUAAAGCCCUUUUGUUGGGAAAGAAAAGCAGCAGGUUAAUACCCCGCUGUUCUGACGGUACCCAAAGAAUAAGCACCGGCUAACUUCGUG
rnacentral:rRNA from 1 species